AUGAAAGCCUCCCAGCACCAGCUAUCCGAGGCCUGCUGCAACAAGCAAGAUCAUUAACUUUCAAGACUUCUCUUGCUGGUUCAGCUGAUGAAACAAUAACGACCGGUAUGCGACCAAGCUGAAGGUGCAAGACUGGACCAUAUUUCCGAGAAAGUUGGCAGAGAGAGCUAUGUGGCAGUGCACCAAGUUGGUGCAAGUUGCCUAAAAUUGGAAGCUUGGGGGGACUCGGUGGAAGCCGGUUGAGUUCUUUCUUAACUUGAGUCCUCUUUCUGAAGAGUAGCAACAGGGCAAGAAGGAGAAAAGGAAGCCAAAAAAGUGGAGUAAGAAAACCCAUCACAGCUUUAGUUUUUGGCAAAGGCGUCUUGAGCUUCCUCGAACUCUCUUUUACUCCGUAAAAGGCUACUAUGUAUCUAUUUAUGAAUCAUCAACAUCCGUCUGGAAGGUAUCAAUAAUACAAGAAUUAACCAUUAGCACUACUCUUCUGACACUAGUUUUUUUCCGCACCGUCAAUUAUUGAUCAAUGUAAUAAUAAAGAUAGGAAUGGAGUGAGUAUAGACACAUAAAUACAUUUUUUAAAAUUCUUAAUCUAUAUCAUAUUGUAUUUACUAACUCUUUUGAAAAAUAUAUUAUAUGUAUAAAUUUUUUUGAAUUUGUAAUUUAUGAAGUUUGACUAUAUAUCAUGCAUACCAUUAAACUAAGAUUCUAUUUGUUUUGCAAAAAAUAAUUUUUGUAUUUUUAAGUAUUUAUUUGGCAAAAAACUAAUUGAUCAACAAAAAAUAAUUUUGACUCCAUUUGAAUAGAUAGUGAAAUUGAUUACAGUGAGAUUAAAAACAGUAAUAAAAAUUAAAGUAACUACGAUUAAAAAAAAGUUACUGUAGUUGUGAUUGAAAAAAAUUUAAUGAUAAAUUUAUACUGAAUAUAUCUCACUAAAGUUAGUAUUUAGAUUUAACUAGUAGUGUGGUGAAUUCAAUCGCACCGCACCAGAAAUACAAUUGAAUCCAAACGGACACUUAGUGGUCAAUGAAAAAUGACAAUUUUUUUGAAAAUUGUCUCUCUUUUCAAAAAGGAAAAUAAUUUAUUGAAAAGAGUUGGCUAUAAAUAUAGCUAUUUAUCAAUGUGCAUGAGUAUAAUUUUACUCAAGUUAGACCUUAUAGAUGAUUUUUUAAACUCAAACUUAAUUUGACCUUACUCAAAAUAUUAUUAUAUUAAUAAAUUAGAUUUUUAUUUAAUUUUAAAAAAUUAAAAUAUUAAUAUUAAAAGUCUUUUAAUAUUUUAAUUUUAAAUAAUUCAUAAUUCUACUCAAGUAAGAUUUUAAACAUAAUAUUUUAAACUCAAACUUAAUUUGAUUUGACUUCAAAUAUUAUUAUAUUAACAAAAAUAUUUUAUUUAAUUUUAAUUAAAUUAAAAAUUAGCUUUAUUUAAUCUUGUAUAUUAUUAAAUAUAAAUAUUUUUAAUAUUUCAAUAAUAAAUAGUAUUUUAUUAUUUUAAUAAUAAAUAAUAACAUAUAUAAUAUUUUAUUAUUUUGAUAAUUAAUAUUAAAUAAUAUAAUAUUAUUAUUUUCUUAAUAUGAAUUUUUAAUAAUUUCUUAUUAUUUUAAGUUAAAAAAUAUAAAUAAUUUUUUGUUAUUUAUUUAUUAAGGUAUUUAUAUUAAUAUUUUAAUAAUAAAUAUAAAUAAUUUUUUUUAUGAUUUAAUAAUUGAUACUUUCAAUAUAAAAUAUAAAUAUUUUAAUAGAAUAAAUAUUUUAAUAAUAAAUGUUACUAUUUUAAUAUUAAUAAAAAUAAUAAUUUAAGAACAGUAAUACUAUUUUAAAUAUUUUAAAAUAUUAAUAUAAAAAUAAUAAAUAGUUUUAUUUUAAGUAUUUUUAUAUUAAUAUAAUAUUUUAAUAUUACAUAUAAUUAAAAUAUAAUUAUUCUUGAAUAUUAAUCAUUUUAAUAAUAAAUAAUUUCAAUAUACUUAAAUAAUAAAUAAUUUUUAAUAUUUUAAUAAUUAUAUUAAUAUCAUUUAAAAAAAGAAUCAUAUUUUUCAGAAAACAACCAAAAAAUAAAAAAUAAUUUUCAUUAAUUCAUCCAAAUAACAUAAAUUUUUUAUUUUUUCAAAAAAAUAAAUAUUUUUUAAAAAAUAUUUUAUAAAAAUCAAAUUUUACGAAACAAACGGAACCUAAUACUCAAUUGAUCACAAAUAAUUUAGUACAUUAUAAAGUUUAGAAGACAAAUAUAUUUAUCUAGAUGGGAAAUUUCCCAAAAUUAAUGCUGGAAGUUUCAAAAUAUCUGCUUUUCCUUCUUCUGGCACUCGUUAUUAUUGAAAAGAUUAAGCAAAGGCUAUUAAUUUGUCAAUCAUGCAUUUCGUAUUCUUGGCAAAAGUAUCAAAUUUGCUAAGUCUAAGUUGGUAUCCAAAACGAUAACGGGCAAUGGAUUUGUAAGGUCUGAAUAUUGUUUGAUGAAAAUUGGAGUCAUUUAGCUUGGAUUGUUUUCCUAUAAAAGAAGGCAUUUAAUUUGCCUUGCCCAUCCCGCAACUCUAUUUAUAGAUAAGAAAAUGACGUAACUUUCAUCUCAUUCUCUCUCUCUCUCUGUUUUUUUUGGUUGAAAUUUCUAAUAUAUGAAUAUUUAAAUUAUGUGCGGGCCACCUUUUUUUUUUUUCCUAAGAAUGAGGAUUAACUAAAAAAAUUUUAUGUUUAUAGUUUUGGAAUAAAAUAUAGAAAAAAGUAAUUUCUAAUGCAAUCUUUUAAGAGGCCCAAUCAAACAAAUGCAAUUUUAACACGCUUUCAAAUGGAUUCUUUGUCGAUGAUUGCAGCAUUUUGCGUUAGGUUAAAGUUCCUAAUCAAUUAUCUAAACAAGCAAAAGUAUAAUGAAUAAUUAGAGUAAUUAAUUAUACGUGCAAGAGAUAAGGAUAUUAGUUGUACAAAAAUUUAAUCUGACUUGACUUUAAUAUAAACCAUUUUCAAGCGGUGCAUAGUUUAUUUGGCAAUACAGAAACCGUCCAGCAAAGGCAGCAUGUGGGUGUGGCAGAUAUAAAUGGAAAUGAGGUGAAGUUUUUUUUAACUAGGACGAAAUUGAAGAAUGCGGCAAGCAGCUUUCUCAUUUGAUUGGCAUUGCACAAAUGUAUGCAGAAAAAGGCAAAAAUUAGGUGUCAUUUAGUGCAGAAAAACGGAGAGAAAGAAAGAAGUAGCUGUGGAAAUGAACAAUCUGGGGAAAAUAAAGAAAGACUGACGUUUGCUCUACGAUUGCUAGCCUGUGACGUUAUCCUUUCUCUUUUUAAAAUUCAAUCCGGAUGAAAGCUAGACUGUCAUGGCUCAGAAUUCCUAGAAAAAUACAGCCCAAACUGAGUUUUCACUUUGUUUAAUAUUGCAGCUUACUUAUUUAACACUUUACGCAUGAGAAAUCCAUAUUUUGAGAAAAGCAAGAGCAGUUUCCAAUUUUUACUGAUGACAUGUUUUGCGUAGGAAAAGGAUUUUCGUUUCAUUUCCUCGAAAGUUAAUUAAAUGAAGGACUAGGGACGGUAAAUUAACCUGAAACCGUCGGGUUCCGACCCGAUCAUUCAGAAUCGGAUUUUUAUUUUUAAAAAAUGAAUUUCGGGUCAAGAUCAUUUUUAUUUUUUUGAAUGUCGAAUUUGGGUUGGAAUCCGGUUUUACGUAAACUUACCCCGAAAUAUUUAUCAAAAUAUCAUUUAUAUAUAUAUAUAUAUAAUUUUUUUUUAGGAUUUCUCUUUUUUUUUCAGCCUCCUUGACUAACUCCCCCGAUCUCCUUUUUUUCGGCCUCCUUGUCUAACUCUCCUGCAUUUGGGAUUUUGCUACUGAUAAAGCUGGGAGAGAGUGCUGCUUUUGAUUGUAACUGUCUUGGCACCUCCAACCUCUGUAGUAUCCUUGUAGCAUUUUCUAUCUAGCUGCCUGCUGUUGUCUAGUGGGGAUAGAAGUAGAACUGAUUGAUCUGACUUGGGUUUGGGUGUACAAGUGGGAGAAUAUUUCACGGGAAUUUCACUGACAACCAGUCGCUCCCAUUCUUCAGCAAUAGAAGCUGUGGUUUUGUCUUCUCCAGCUGUCUGAAUCCCUAUCCGGGUGAGCGGAGUUUAGCAUUUUGCUUUGGCCGUUAAUAAGAAUAUUUCUUCAGUCAGUCAUAUCUUUUGCAAUCGCCCAUGUUCUUUCUUUAAUCUCGCCUUUCUUUUGUCCCAUCUCGAUCGAUUCAUAACAUCUCCGGAUCACAAAGAGAUGCUGCUCUUUUAUUAUACAAUUCACUUGUAACCAGACAUUUUGGACAUGCUCCAGGGCCAGGCUGAUUUUUUAAUCUACUUGAUGAAUGGUUUGAAAUUCGGAUCGGGUCGGGUUGAAUUGAAGUAAAUAAUAUUCUUAACGGGUUGGAAUUGGGUUUUACCAUUAGAACUUUUGAGCGGGGAUGAGUCGGGUAUUAAAUAAAAGUAUUAAGAUUUCGAGUCGGAGGCGGAAAAAGCAAAAAUCCGACCUACCCGUCACAAUGCCAACUCUAUGAAGGAUUGAGUUGAAAAUGAAAAAAAAUACAAAAGAAAAAGGGAUGAAAAUUGGAACAGGGUCUCUCCACAAUUGUGAGGUCUAUGCCUCCAUGGUUUUUGUCAAGCAUUAUUACACAAGUUUGGUGUGAGGGACUUAAGAAAGUGUUUUGAAUUUUAUUUCGAUUAUGUAUUAAAAUUAAUCAUAAAAUAUAAAGAUUCACAUAUUUUCUUUUUUAUGAAAAUUUUUUUUCAUUGCACUACUAAAUAAAGCUUAAGUUUGGAUUAAUAAUGUAAAUGAUACAUCAAUUCUCAUAAAUUAUUUAAAUUUAAUUUGAUUAUUAUCGAAUUAAGUUUAAGUUCGAACAAUUUAAUUUAUUAAGUAAGUUGAGUUUAAGUAUCUUAAUAUCCGAUUCAAAUAAUUUAUGAACUUAAUCAAGUUUUUAGAUUUUAAUAUAUUUUUCAUUAUUUUAAUUAAAAAUUAUUAUUUUAUUCUUAUAUAUAUAUAUAUAUCAAUUCAAUUUUGAAUUCAAGUAACUUAAUUUUUAUCUCGAGUUGAGUUUAAAUUUAAAAUUUAAAAUUUGAUCAAACUCGAUCCAAGUUUUGAAUAAUAAAUUUUGAGUAAAACUUAAAUUUGAAUUUCACUGUAUUGAUUCAAUUUAAUUUGAUCAUACACUAGUUUAGACCCAUCUAUGAGCUCAUAUUUUAUUAAUUAAUAACAAAUUAAAAAAACUUUAUAUUGACAUUUUAACACUUUUGACAUAUCAAAAUGAAUUUGGAUUUAUAAAUAGUAUUUAUUAAUUUAUUUAAUACUAACAUAAUACAUAAUAAUUUUGGGCCGAACUUGAUUCGGGCUUAAAACUUUAAAGCCCUACUCUAAUUCAAAAUAGGCCGGACUUAUGGGUGUAGAUGCAAAGUCAAAUCCUUGAAUCAUUUUUCAUUUUCCAUUUUAUUGUCUCAAAAUUCUUAUUAGGUGAAGGUUCACUUUCUUUUGCCUUUUUUUUCCUACUCUCAUAGUGUUGCAAAUCUUUUGUUAUAUUGUUUUCAUGGUUGAUUUUUUUUGUCCAGCCGGCAUGUGACUGGAUUGGCCAGAGCGUGCUACCUCUAGCGAAAGCAUUGAAGCUGUUACGCAGUUGCAUGCUGUAAUCAGAAAUGCUUGUGAUAAUUAUUAUGAACCUGUAUGCAUGCUAUCAUCAUUCUGAUUCAUUAUUUUCUUCUGCCAGAAUCUAGUGAUGCCGCAUGUAGACCACUCUGCAGAGGUUCUGAUUGACCUUUUGCAAGCUCUUCUAGAUUUGAUCCUUGGAGUCGAUUAACUGCUCGUUAAGCUCUCAGGCAUCCCUUUUUCACCGAAGAUCAUUGCCAGGGAUUCUCAGUUAUUUCUUUUCUUUCUAUUUCAAUACUCUGGUUCUGAUAUUGCUUGCUCAAGUUUUACAUAUUGAUCCUGGCUUAGGCAUGAGGGGUUAGUGGUUGGUGAUGAAUUCUGUUUUGACUCUUUUAAUAUGAAAGGCCGACCAGGAUUCUGGGGUUUCUGUAGUUUAUUUUAUUUUAUUUUUUGUAAAUUAGCUAUUGUUUUUUCUCCUCUGAUUCCUUUAUCCUGGAAAUGUGAUGUAGAAGUUUUUCUCAAUGAAUUAGAAGGUUUGCACUUACUAAUCUAUUGGCUUUGGUCCACGAAUCAGAAUUCAGAAGGCUGUCCUGUCUUAAUUCUACAGAGAUGGACAAUGGAAUUCAAAAAGAAAUGUGGAUGAGUAAGAAAAAGAGCUGGAGCUAUGGUGAUGAUUUCUUCUUACACUUGCAAAAUCAGUUUUGACAGAUAUCAAAUGGUUUCUUCAAAGUGGUUUUAUUUCAAGAAAGAGCAAAAUUAAUUUCUGAUGUUAUUAUAAUGAGUAUUGAAUCUCUAGUAAAAUAGAACAAAUAAUUACAAUGGAUUCCUUAUCAGUGUUUCGUAUUGCAUCUUUUAGCUCUCAAGACCCCAUUUGGAGGGCUGGACACCAUCAGGCUACAAUGACCGUGCAACCAAUACGAAUAUUUCAAGAAACCACCGAGAUUGUAUCGGGCUCGAAACUUCCCCUUGACUGUAAACAUGACUCGGUUGUUCUCAAUCUGCUUUUGUAGCAGCAGAGUUUCUUUCAAUGAAAGCCUAACCUGACUGGUUACCAUGUGAAUAUUUGCAAUCAUUGACAGACCUCUUGCCGCUGAGAAAGGUUCUAUGUAUUGGGUAGCAAUCAUACUAUUCUCAAAGUAAAGAUCAAGGUACAUGUAACUGAAAUCCACGCUCACCUUCAUGUUUGGAUUUGUGAAGUUCGCAAGCACACUAAGAUCAGCAUUGAGCAAGUAACGCAUGUCCAGAUAGGCUGCAUUCAAGCUGACGCUAUUGACAUCAAAAUGUGGACUGCGUGGUCGAAAGACGAGAUAGACUAUGAGAACGAUUAAGCCUCCUAUUAUUAUGACGAGCCAAAAAAUUAUACAGAAAGCUGCUGCAAACCAUGUUAGAGGUUUGGUUGGACGGUCUCGUGGGAGAAAAAGAUUAGUGCGUGGGCGUUGCUCAUGGGGAUGCUUGCCCUCGGGCUGUGGUGUUAUUACCCCUGGACUAGGCUGGUGUUCGGUGACUUCACCCAGUGGUCUUAUCAAUUGAGCGCUAGGAUGUUGGUCUUGAAGCUGUGGUGGCAUCUUCACUUUCUUGCCUGACCGGCCUUGACGUUUCUGUGUUUUGGGGGUUAGACCUUGAAUCGAUGAGGGUGGCGUCGACAUUUCAAGUGGCUGCCGCUGUUGACCUUGGCUAUUUUGUGGUUGUGAUUGAGGGCUUUGGUCUUCAUGAUGUACUGGGGGCACCCAUACAUGUAGUGGCGGGUAAGGUUGGCCUUCAUGAUGUGGUUCUGGAGGAGACGGACCAAGCGGCUGGGGACCUUCGUCCCCAUAAUGUCUUGGCUGAGGACGUUGGUCUUGAGGACGAUGUGAAGGGAUACGCUGGUCAGGACCACGUCGUGGCAACAAGGCAGCAGGUAGAUAAUGACGUUGAUCUGGUGUUUUUUCUUCAGGAUCGAUAAAAUGUGGGUUGGUUUCAACAUGCUGAUAAGCCAUUCUGUAUCGAAAAUAUGGCCAGAAAUGAAGUAGAGCAAAGGGAAAUAAGAGGAGUUGAUGAUGCUAGGUAAUAUGCGAAAGAGGAUGACUUCAAGGGAACUAAUGUAGGAGGAUUCUUGUAAAGGCAAAGAAUCAAACAUAAACUGAGUAUGGGAGGCAAGUAAUCUUUCGUUAUUCCUUUUCAAGGCAUCUGCAUAUUUUCUUUCUGGUUUUUCAAUAUCAAAAGCAGUUGUAAUUUAAAGCAAGCGAUCGUCUACUUGUGAAUUCUUACAAUUCUACUUGAAGCUCAGCAAAGUGACAUACAAUGAUAUACAAUGUCCAAGUUUAGAUGGUAGAAAUAGAUUUUUAGCAAAAUAAUUUUUUGGCGAAAGGAUAAAAAGGUCCUAAAACAAAAAUUUAAUAAUCAUUUAAGUCCUUUAACAUGUUAUUGAAAUCAAUCCAGCUUAAAUCUUUUAUUUCGAAUAAGUUGAAUCCAUAAAUAUUUAUUUUCACCCAAUUAAACCCCUAAACAUCUAUUUUUACUUAAUUAAGCCCUCAAUUGGAUAGAAACAAUUAAACAUUUUUCCUCUAAUAAGGGUUUAAUUGAUAAAAAUAGAGUUUUGAGGGUUUAAUUGGUUGAAAAAAAUGAUAAAGUCUUAAAUGAUUAUUGAAUUUUAGUUCAGGGACUUUUAUUAUUAUUUUUUUAAGCUUUUGCCUUUUUUUUUUUGCCUAGAGUAAAGUACUCUUGUUGUGACAUGGUGUCAUAAUUUGCAGUUGAUCCAAAAACUUGGAAGAUGCUCCAUUGGUUGAAAACAACAAGGAAAUGUUGCAAGUUAACAAUUAUAGAUAGUUGAUUUUAGUUACUAAUAUUUUAUUCUUUUAAACUUUUUUAAAGUUGUUAAAAUUGAGAAUAAGUUAGAAUAUGUGUUAAGACUGUUUCAGUGAAAAUUAUUUUACAGAACAUGUGAUAAAAUUAUUUCAAUGAAGGUUAUUUUAUGAAACAACUAUUCAAGGAAUAACUUCUUCAUAAAACAACUAUUCUUGAAACAACUUCCUCAAGGAACAAAGCAACACUUUUACUGAAAACUCUUGAAACACAAGUUACUACACUAAGAGUUAUUCCACAAAAAACACUUCACCGAAUGUUACUUCAUUUAAAGAAGAAGUGAAAAUAACCUAGGGAUAUGGCAUGGUUUUUAGGUUAAUUUCACUAUUGGGAUGUUCCAGAGAGUUUGGCUUGGUGGAUCAGAUAUAAAGAUAGUUAUGAGGUUUUCUCUUAACCUUUUCUUGAAAUAUUAGUGCUUUUUCUUUUCUUUCAAAAGAGAUAGUGAACUUCUAUGUUUACUAUACUUAUUAUUAAAAGCUAAUUAAACUCCUAUUAAUCAAUACAUUAAUACAUUUUCUAAUGGUCAAUUAUCUCAUUAUGCAUCAUUAUUCUUAUUCGAUACUCUAGUUAUGUAACUUAUAUUAUUGAAGAACUAUAAAUAGGAGUUUCCAAAGUUCAUUAAGGGGCUUUUUGAGACUUUGGCCAAACUUACUCAAUUUUUUUUGUAAUUCUCUCUUCCUAAAUCUUUUUCUCAAUCUCAUUCUCUUAUUUACUCAGCCUUACUUCACCACCUACCACCACCUGCCACUGCAUUCAAUAUUUCAAGAUCUGCUCCAAUCUUCUUUUUUAUCAUUUCCUGGUACAUCUUAUUUUACUUGUUUGCAAUGUUUCCUCACUUCAACAAAAAACCUGUUAAUAUUUUGGUGACUCCACUAAGGAUGAGUGAUUGCAUUAAACAAAACAAUUUCUAAUUUUACUUUGCAGAAAAAAAUAGAGGAUUCUAUUGGAAACCAAAAUGUUCAGACCCCUGCCUACAUCCAAAAAUUGAUGAAAAUGAUUUAAAAUUCCUAAAAGAAGUUGCAAAAGUUAGAAGAGACUAUCUCCCAACUCAUAUCUUCCAAUGCCACAACCUCUUAAGCCUAAACUACUACUAAUGGGAAUAGAAAUACUUCUAUCUUUCUAGCGAAUGGCACUGAAGAAAACAUUACAAAUAAGCCAAAUCUUGGUGUUAAUGAAAAUCUUAGUGUAAACAACACCUUAGUUGUUGGUACUCCAACUAUGAUUUUUCCUCCAACCACAACUCAGGGUUUUAUCACGAAAGAAUAACUUCAGAAGUUGCUUGAGGAAAAGAACAAAAGAUUGAACUUUUUUGAAUUUGAUUUUAAAAUACCAUAUUUUGCUAGAAUGGUUGUUAAACCAUAUCCCAAGGACUAUACUAGUCCUAAGUUUAAGCAAUUCAAUGGCAAGACUGAAGAUACUCAUGAGCAUGUAAUAAAAUUUAUAAAAACUCUUGGAGUAACUGGAUUGGAUGAUAAUUUGAAGUUGAAGGAUUCUCUAAGUCUUUUAUAGAAAAAGCUUACACUUGGCUCUAUUGAAUCAUGGAAUCAGAUGUGUAGAAUGUUUAGAGAAAAGUUUUUCUUUACCUAAGAAAAAGUUACUUUGAUUGACUUGGAAAAAGAACACCAAAAGUCACGGGAAGUUCUUAUAGAAUACAUCCAAUGCUUCAAGGAAAGAGUGUUGGACAUUCAAGAUUCUCAUGAUAAGAAAAAACUGGUAAAAGUAUGUAUACAAGAAAUGUUUGAUGAGUACAUAGUGUAUUUGGAGAAUUUAUCUUUUUCAACCUUCGUUAUUAUAGUUGAAGUUGCAAGAAGAACCAAUAAUACAACUUUUAAGCAAUGAGGAGCCAAUCAUUUCAUUAGGAGGAAUGCUUUUACAAUGAAUACAAUUUAAGGAAGAGCAAGAAAAAAAAGAGGACCUUUUCAUCCUAAUAUGUGUCCUAAAAGAGAUAAUCAAAAAAUAAGACAAGAUGAUGAUACUAACUCUCCACUAUUUUCAGUUCUAAUGGAUAGAGUGAAAGCACUAUUUCAAGAAUGGAUUAAAAAUGAAAAUGUGAAUCUACCUUAUGUUUCACAACCACCAAUAGCAAAAGAAAAGUCUAACCUAAGGUAUUAUGACUAUCAUCGAACGGUUAGUCAUUCACUUGCUGAAAGUAAAAAUCUUCAUAGAAUAUUCCAUCGAAAGAUACAAACAAUAAAAAUGUUUAUUAGAAUCAAUGAAAUUCAAAAUAAUCCAUUUCUAACUCAUCAUAAUCCUCAAGGGCAUGUGAAUGCAACUAUUCAUGCUAACUAUAAUGAUCUUUCUUUUUUUUAGCGAAUAUGAUAUAUUAGUUAUUCAAUCGAAGUUAUCAAGUCUCAAGCACUUUCAGAUUUGUUAACAUAUUUUCAAUCUUAGUAAUAAGAAAAAGGUGUUGGAAUAGUUCUGAUCCCAUCGAGUAAAAAACUAGAUUCUUUAAAAGAAAGUAUUGAGUUAAACUCCUCUUAUUUGGGUAGAAGAGACAUUUCAUUGAAAGAAAAGGUAAAAAGAAAAGGAUGCUCCUUGAUUCGGGUUUAAAGUUAAACUCCCUAAAAUCAGGUAGAGAACCUAUCUCUUUAUCUUAAACUGUGUUGAAAACUUUGUUUAAUUAUACUAGAAAUUAAUCUUUAAAAUCAAAUUGAGAUAUAAAGUUGAUAUGGCUGCUGUGUUGAAUCCAAUUUUAUUGGCUGCAAUUUAACACUUUCUGCUUUGAAUCAAAUUAAUUUCUUUGGUACUAAGUUAAGAAAAAUUAUCUGGUUAAUACAUAAUGGAGUUUGAUCUAUUUCUUUCUAGGUUUAGAAUUCACCUUUCUAGUGUAAAAUUGAGAAUCACUCAUUGGCCGCAGCUUUAUCACUAAUUUGUUUUACCACUAUUCUAUUUGUAGACACCAUUUUGUUUGGAAUAACCCGAUCGUGAUUGAUUUUGGAGUUUGGGCACGAAUUAGAUCGAUUUAAAAAUUAGGACUAAAUUCAUUUACAAUCUCGAAAAUAUUUCGUGUAGGUUUAAGAUUGGUCCAAUUUCAUUAUCAGGUUAAUUGUUGAGGCCUAAAUUUCAUAUUAAAGCCUGAAUUUCAUGUUAAAGCCAGAGUUUUGUAUUAAAGCCCAAAAUUUAUCCAAAUUCUGCCUCAAAUCCCAUAUUCAAUUUUGAUUAAUUUGGGACCAAAUUAAAACAAAUACAAUAAUUAAAAAAAAAAAUACAAUUAAACAAUUAAGAGAUUAACUAAGGUUAAGAGUUUUAAAAAAAUGUGUAUUUAAGGGGCGGCUACCAUGAUAGUAGCCUACCCUUACUUUUCGCCACCCCUAGAUCACAAUUUCACUCUCCCUAAAUUACCUCAUCAAUUUCAACUCUCAAAGUUUACCUAUUUGAUUUUACCUAAAUUAUCUAUAACACCAAUUGGUAAAUGAACAAUGCUCUAAAAUGCAGUGAACCAGUGCUGUGAAAAUAAUCCAAGAUUACUAACUACUCUUUUAAGAGGAAUUAAUUCCAAAAUAGAGGCAUAGGAGAGAGGGGAAAAGAUUUGGGAUUUUCAAUAAAAUCCUAAAUGAAUUUAUACUGAGAAGAGGACACCAAUUUUGAAAAGGGGGGAACAUUAGUGGCAAACCAAAAAAAAAACCCAAAAACUAAACACAGAUACCCAAUAUCCACUAAAAGCCAAAUUCAACUAAAAAACCUACCAUUGCCAACACUAGUUUCAACCCCAGCUUCAACCUUAGCACUCGCCCAACUAGUACAGUCCGUAGCCUCCAGUACCUAGCCUUCAUACCCUAACACCAUAGCCACACCAACCCCUAGCUCACCUAGCCUUAGCCCUAAUACCAACCCCCAAGCCUAAGUGCCAUAUUUGCUCCCUCACUAGCACCACACCUGUGCACACCUACACAAGCACCGAUACCAGCCUCUAACUCUGACCUCUGCUAACCACCCUUGCCCAUACCGAUCCCUUCACAGACCCUUGACCUUUAUGCACCCUCAUCAUUCCUCGUACUCAAACAUCUCGUCCCUAGCCCUACAUUAUCCACCACGCCCUAGUGCCACACCCACGCCCUCACCUAACACUUGCGUCACAACCACUCUCACCUAACGUCAUAGCCACACUAAACACCCAUACUCACCAACACUAUCCUUUAAACCCUUCAACACUGUCCCAAAAGCACCAACUGACAUAAAAAAAACAUUAACUGUAUGAGAAUCACAAAAUCUACCCAAAAAAAAAAACCAAAAAAAAAAUCAAAACAAGAAUCAUUGCCCUUGGAGCAAGGAUCUAAUGCCAAAAAGACUAAACAAAAAAAAAUAAACAAAAAAAAGAACUCUUUUUUGCUGAAUACUUUGGAGGUCAAUCUAGAAGGUUAAAGGGAUUUUUUUGGUGAAAAAAGGGUCAGAAUGGAGUAAAAGGGGAAGAAAAAAAGUUUUUUGGCAUCAACAACGGUGGUUGACAACGACAGUAAUGGCAGCCUGUGCGACAGCAUGGUGCCAGACUUCAAGCUUGGUAAGAGGCUUUAUUUGUCUCUGAAGUGUUUUUUUUUUUUUUUAAUGAGCAAGGGUUAAAAUGUUAACAAAAAAAGUUAUUUUUAUAGCAAAAAAGUUAUUUUUAUAGCAAAAAAAAAAAAAACCAAAAUGAUGUCGUUUUAUACGUGACUCAUGACCCAACCUAGGGUCCAGGCCAACGAACCCGAUGACCCGUUUCUCCCUAGCCUUCAACCAAUCUACCUAAAUCGGAGUUGAACCGUCAAACCGCUACAAGCUGCCACGAACUGCUUGAACUGCGCUAAAUCGACCUAAAUCAUCCGUGGACCGUUGAUCGAUUAAUUUUGUAUAAUUUUUUUGUUUUUAUCUUUUUAAUUUUAAAUUAUUUAAGUUAGUUAUUAAUGCAUAUUCAUAUUUUAAAUACAUAUAAUAAAUGCAUAUAUUUUAAAAAAUAGGAAAAUUAAUCUUUAAAAAAUAAUAAAUUAAGAAAAAUGUGUAUGAAAAAAGUGUAAAAAAAUAAACAUAAAAAAUGACAAACAAGUAUAAAAAUAAUAAUAAAAUAAUACAAAUCUCCGAAAAUGAGAUAUUACGGAAGUCCGAGUAGUGAUUCUUUAAAAUCUUUAGGUGAGAAUUUUUUUUUUAAAUACUACCAAAGUAAUAGAGUAUUUAGAAAAGUAUUCAAUAUAAAGAAUUUUCAUUUAUUUAAUUCUCUUAAAAUAUAUAUGUUUUAAAAAUAAAUAAAUGAAUAAAAAAAAUAAAAAAGGUGCUGGAAAGUAAAAAUAACUCUUUUUUAGUAACAACAUUAAUAUAGUGACACAUAAAUUUUACUUGCGAUGAUUAAUCAUUUUUGUUUUAAAAAAAAAUUAAUAAAAUUAAAAAUAAUAAUGAUAUAAAGGAAGAAACAAAAUGAAAAUCUUCGAGUAUGAGAUUCUAAGAAAGUCUAAGUAAAGAUUCCUAAGAAACCCCUAGGUGAGAGAAUUUUUCUAAAAUGCCAUAAAAGUAUUAAAGUACCUAGAAAAUUUUCAAUAAAAAAAUUUUCCUUGCUUCGGUUCCUUAAAAAAAUAAUUAUAAUAAUAAAUAUACAUAAAAAUUUAUUAAUAAUGAUAAUGAAUCAAUUAGGCGAGUAAAACAAAAUAAGUAAUAAAGAAAAUAUAACAUAAGCAAAAAUAAAUAAGGUGACUAAAAAUUAUUGCACGCAUACCACAUGUUGUCAUCUGCAUUUCAUAUAAUAAUCUCGCAAGUAACAUUAAUUUUCAACAAUGAAAUAUUUGAAAAUUUUGAGUAGUAAUUCUCAAGAAAUUCUUGAGUGAGAAAAUUUUUUCAAACUAUCGCCCAAGUUUUGAGGUAUUUAGAACAAUUUUCAACCAAAAAAAAUUCUCAUUUACUUUUUCCUCAUGAAAACACUUUUAUACAAUACAAUAAUGAUUAAAAUAAAUCCAUGCGUAUCAUAUUCCACUUAUACACACCAAUUUUAAAAAUAAACGAAAUCUCUAAGGAUGAGAUCUUAAAAAAAUUUAAGAAGUGAUUCUUUAGGAAUCUUUAAUUGAGAAAAUUUAUUUAAAAUGUCACCAAUGUAUUGGAACAUUUAGUAUAAUUUUUAAUAAAGAUUUCUCUUCUAUUUUAAUAAAUAGAAUAAAAAUGAAUUUUUUUAUCGAAAUUAAAUUAUAGUUAUCAUAUUUUAUUACAUACAUUAUAAAUAUUGAUUUUUAAAUAUAAAUAUGAAUCAUCGAUGAUGGGAUUUUUUAGAAUUUCAAGUAGUAAUUUUUAAAAAAUCUUUAGGUGAGAAAGUUCUUUUUAAUAUUGCCAAAGUUUUAGAAUAUUUUUGAAAAUUUUUCAAUAAACAAGGUUCUUAUUUAUUUUUUCCAACCAAAAUAAAAAUAUGUUUUUUUUCACAAUAAAGGAAAUUAAAAAAAUUAAUUUUAAGUACCAAAAUUAAUACAUUUUGCCAAGAUUAAAAGAUAACACAUAAUUAAUUAGUAUCAUUUUUACAAGCUUUAUGGGGGUGCUAAUCUUUUCCCAUAUGUAAUCAAUUCUCGAGCCGCGAAUCCAAAAAUUAUUUUUUUAAUAAAUUUUAAUUAAUUAAAAAGAUAAGUUUUAAUAGAUGGCCAAUUACACCUAGCCAAAAAAGAUUGGUGAUGAUGCCAUAUGUUUUUUAAAAUUUAUCUAGCAGUACCUAAAAUCGUUAUGAUAGCUUCGCGACUCAAUUGGGGAUGUCAUUUUUUUAGAGAGUCAGGCUAAAAAUUUAAUCAUGUAUUAUCCUUAAUCUUGAUUUAAUGGUCUUAAUUGGUAUUUAAUCUUAAUUUUCUUAAUCUUGAUUUUUUUUCAAAUAGUAAAAAUAUUAAUAAUGAUAAUAAAAACUUGCAUCUCAUUUUAACCAUGUCAUUUGUUUUACCCUUUGUAUUUAUUAUUAUUUUUAUUAGGCACUUAGAAUUAGGAUUAUGAUACUAUGUUUCCUUAUUCACACAUGACACAUUCAUAUUAUUUAUGAGCUCUAUACUCGGGCUUUAGCCAUUUUAGGAGCCAGUAAAGUACGUAUGUUCUCAUAAGGUGAUAACCUUCGCAAUGGCAAAUAAAAUAUUCCUACUCAAAUUGAACCAUUUUCGUUUGUAGCCCAUAAUGGGUGAGGAUUGAAGUGUGUUACUAAUCUUUGUGGAUGCCAAUCAAGAACAAUUUGAGAACCUUUUAAAUUCGAAUAAAUCCAAGCUAAUCAUAUAGUAAGCCAUAGGGGCCAACCCUAGCUAGAGCCAUGUCUACCUUUUAUAGAUCAUCCUCGAGAACUGAGGCAAGCAAGAGAACACUUGUGUUGUAAUGCUUUUUCUAAAGGAAGUCAUAAAUGUGUGCAUUCAUAUUUAUUUUAUUUGUUAAAAGAAAUUUUGUAUCUCAUCCCUUUUUUUUUUCCUAAAAUAAAGAAGUGACCAUUUCCUUUUACCUUUUCUUUUCAAGCUUUUAUUAUUUCAU
rnacentral:lncRNA from 1 species